GUGGGGAAUAUUGGACAAUGGGCGAAAGCCUGAUCCAGCCAUGCCGCGUGUGUGAAGAAGGUCUUCGGAUUGUAAAGCACUUUAAGUUGGGAGGAAGGGCAGUAAGUUAAUACCUUGCUGUUUUGACGUUACCGACAGAAUAAGCACCGGCUAACUUCGUGCCAGCAGCCGCGGUAAUACGAAGGGUGCAAGCGUUAAUCGGAAUUACUGGGCGUAAAGCGCGCGUAGGUGGUUUUGUAAGUUGGAGGUGAAAUCCCCAGGCUCAACCUGGGAACUGCCUCCAAAACUGCAUGACUAGAGUACGGUAGAGGGUAGUGGAAUUUCCUGUGUAGCGGUGAAAUGCGUAGAUAUAGGAAGGAACACCAGUGGCGAAGGCGACUACCUGGACUGAUACUGACACUGAGGUGCGAAAGCGUGGGGAGCAAACAGGAUUAGAAACCCGGGUAGUCC
rnacentral:rRNA from 1 species